AUGAACGCUGACAGAAUGCUUAACACAUGCAAGUCUUUGGCGAAGCUGUGCUUGCACAGCCUAGCCAAGGCGGACGGGUGAGUAACGCGUAAGGAACUUGCCCUGCAGUCAGGGAUAACAGACGGAAACGACUGAUAAGACCUGGUAAAGUCAGGCGGACUCAUAUCCAGCCUGAUGAAAAGUGAUGCUGCAGGAGAGCCUUGCGUCCUAUUAGCUUGUUGGUGGGGUAACGGCCCACCAAGGCGAUGAUAGGUAGCCGGCCUGAGAGGGUGGACGGCCACAAGGGGACUGAGAUACGGCCCUACUCCUACGGGAGGCAGCAGUGGGGAAUAUUGGACAAUGGGGGCAACCCUGAUCCAGCAAUUCUGUGUGCACGAUGAAGGUUUUCGGAUUGUAAAGUGCUUUCAGCAGGGAAGAAAAAAAUGACGGUACCUGCAGAAGAAGCGACGGCUAAAUACGUG
rnacentral:rRNA from 1 species